CUAGCCGUAAACGAUGUAGACUUGGCGUUGGUGGGGUAAAAUCCAUCAGUGCCGAAGCAAACGCGAUAAGUCUACCGCCUGGGGACUACGGCCGCAAGGUUAAAACUCAAAGGAAUUGACGGGACCCCGCACAAGCAGCGGAGCGUGUGGUUUAAUUCGAUGAUACACGAAGAACCUUACCUGGGUUUGACAUGCAAGUGGUAGGAAACUGAAAGGUAACCGACCCUUCGGGGAGCUUGCACAGGUGC
rnacentral:rRNA from 1 species